rnacentral:lncRNA from 10 species
CCUAGUGGGAAGGGCCCUCUGCAUCCCCCACAGGCCUGCAGGCCCAUGCUUUGCUGUGGCCACAUAUAACGCACAGGGCCCUCUCUCAGUCACUCCUGUUCUCCUCUUUUCCACGUUGGUCCUAGUACAUCAUUUCCCAUGGAGGAGCUAUGUGAACAGAGACUGAAUUGAGGGAAAUCACUUUUGGAAUCCCAGCCCUCUCCUCAGGCGCCAGUGGAGCAUGAGCUGUGCUGUGGAUGAAGUCCGUUGGCACAGUGAGUCCCUGGGAUGGAACCUGCACUCGCUGCUUGACCCAUGGCUGGAGCCUCGGGGAUGCUCGGUGGACACCUCACAGGAGGUGAGAUUGACAGAGCCGGUUCUAGUCUUAGCUGUCUUCUUCCUUCCUGAAGGUUCCUGGACAAGUCACCUGAUCUUGUGGAACCCAAGUUUCUCCACCUCUAAAUGGAACACACUAAAUUGUUAUGAGUGAGCAUCAGAGGAAAUCAAGAGUGUGUGAUUUAGCUCUGCAUGCAACGGGCUCUGUAGAUAAUUUUCAUUGCAGUUAUUUUGACUUCACUUUGGUGAGUCGACUACCCCAGGUUUUGAAAUGAACACAGGGAGGCAGAAUACGUGUUGUAAUCCCAGGCUACAGUUCUGGAGCCUUUAUUGAAGGAGAAGACAUUUUUUAUUUGUAAGAAUGAAAAACGGAAGGCGGGGAGCCUAUGUGGCAUGGAAUUCAAGAAAUGGAGCAACUGGCCACUGGCGAUGGGAAGGCCCAUGGCAGAUUCUGCAAAUCUCUCUGGAGUUUCUGCUUGAGUUCCUGUUCGCCGCUGUGAGCCCCUCACUCUUUCGUUGCUGAGACACCUUCACCAUGGCUCAGGAGGCCACAUGCUAUUCCUCAGGUGGCGGAGGGCAGAGACCGAGGGAGUCGGUAAAAAGGAGAGGGCUGGAAAAUUCCUCUUAGCAUAAGAAUAAACAGUGAUUUGAAUAUUCAGUUGUGAGGGUUAUAAAUAACUGUGAGUUUUCAUUGACGUGUAAGCGGUGAUACAUUUUGUACAAUAAUUAGUUAUUUGAUUACUUUUGUUUUAGCCUGAAGUAGAGGACAAUUGACAAAUGUGAAUACCUCUGAGACUGAUGGGGCGCAGUAAACUAACUUUAUUUAUUACAAAAUGCAAUUUUAUUAAUAUGAAUUGACAGUAAUUAAUUUGCUGGUGUUGAUGUUGUUAAUAAUUGCAUGUAAUUUAUGAAAUAUUCAUGCUAGAGCAGAAUAAAAUAAUGCACGGGUCCUCUGGCUUGUUUGUUAAGUCUGUGAAUAUUUCAACAAAGCCUUUCUAAUUCAAUGUAUUCAUAGUACAGUGGUUUAAAAUCCCACAAAAUUACCAAAAAUAUUUUAAUUUCUUAUUUGAGUGUUUCUUAACUCAACUUCCAGGCAUGUCCAGGGAUACUGUGCUUAUACUUCAGGGCACCAUGAAACUCCCUGAAAUUAAAUGGAGGAGGUGUUUUUUUGAGAGCCUCCCCCAGAAGAUUAAGUACCAGUGCAUUGUCUAACUUAAUCUUCUUCAAUGCUCCAAAAAUACUUUACUCCCAUUUCAUAGAUACAGAAACCAAGGCUGAGAGAGAUGUCAUUGUUGCUGGUCCCAUGUAAGUUGAAGUGUCAGAGGUAAGAUUCAACUCUGUCCUCUGGCUUCUAAAUCCAGGACCCAUGGAGUAAAAUCUAAUUUUGCCUUUAUUCCAGUUUUUUUUUUUUUCUGAAUGAAAGUAUGGACUGUUUCCCCCUCCUAAUUCAGUUUGGCCCUCUUGUUCCUAGAAAAGGAUUGUAAUUAGAGGGCAUCACAAUUGAAUUC